rnacentral:rRNA from 1 species
AUUGAACGCUGGCGGCAUGCUUUACACAUGCAAGUCGAACGGUAACAGGCCGCAAGGUGCUGACGAGUGGCGAACGGGUGAGUAAUGCAUCGGAACGUGCCCAGUCGUGGGGGAUAACGCAGCGAAAGCUGCGCUAAUACCGCAUACGAUCUCUGGAUGAAAGCGGGGGACCGAAAGGCCUCGCGCGAUUGGAGCGGCCGAUGUCAGAUUAGGUAGUUGGUGGGGUAAAGGCCCACCAAGCCAACGAUCUGUAGCUGGUCUGCGAGGACGACCAGCCACACUGGGAAUGAGAAACGGCCCAGACUCCUACGGGAGGCAGCAGGGGGGAAUUUUGGACAAUGGGAGCAAGCCUGAUCCAGCAAUGCCGCGUGCAGGAAGAAGGACUUCGGGUUGUAAACUGCUUUUGUACGGAACGAAACGGUCCGGGUUAAUACCCUGGGCUAAUGACGGUACCGUAAGAAUAAGCACCGGCUAACUACGUGCCAGCAGCCGCCGUAAGAC